rnacentral:rRNA from 1 species
UAGGGAAUCUUCGGCAAUGGACGAAAGUCUGACCGAGCAACGCCGCGUGAGUGAAGAAGGUUUUCGGAUCGUAAAACUCUGUUGUUAGAGAAGAACAAGGACGUUAGUAACUGAACGUCCCCUGACGGUAUCUAACCAGAAAGCCACGGCUAACUACGUGCCAGCAGCCGCGGUAAUACGUAGGUGGCAAGCGUUGUCCGGAUUUAUUGGGCGUAAAGCGAGCGCAGGCGGUUUCUUAAGUCUGAUGUGAAAGCCCCCGGCUCAACCGGGGAGGGUCAUUGGAAACUGGGAGACUUGAGUGCAGAAGAGGAUAGUGGAAUUCCAUGUGUAGCGGUGAAAUGCGUAGAUAUAUGGAGGAACACCAGUGGCGAAGGCGGCUCUCUGGUCUGUAACUGACGCUGAGGCGCGAAAGCGUGGGGAGCAAACAGG